GAUGAACGCUAGCUACAGGCUUAACACAUGCAAGUCGAGGGGCAGCAUUUUAGUUUGCUUGCAAACUGAAGAUGGCGACCGGCGCACGGGUGAGUAACACGUAUCCAACCUGCCGAUAACUCCGGGAUAGCCUUUCGAAAGAAAGAUUAAUACCGGAUAGCAUACGAAUAUCGCAUGAUAUUUUUAUUAAAGAAUUUCGGUUAUCGAUGGGGAUGCGUUCCAUUAGUUUGUUGGCGGGGUAACGGCCCACCAAGACUACGAUGGAUAGGGGUUCUGAGAGGAAGGUCCCCCACAUUGGAACUGAGACACGGUCCAA
rnacentral:rRNA from 1 species